GUCCAACAUGAACACUAAAAGCUGCUGUUUUUGUUUUACAGGGCUGUGGAGGAAACCUGGGGCCUGACACUGAAAAAGAGCAUGUUUAAAGUGCUGCAACAAUGGAUACCCAGCAGAGAGACACGAAUCACUGAGGUGGCUGCUGGGACAGUAAGCUGGACUGCGACAAGAUCACAUGAAGUUGUAGCACAAACACUGGGAAUACAAAGGUAAAAGACAGCAAACACUGGAGCAAACACCACGAGGCUUAAGUUUCCUAAGCCAAGUGUUUUCCAGAAAGACAAAUGACGUGACUACUGCAGCCCAAGUAUGACUCAACCCUAGAGUGAUUUCCCUGAAGCAUCUGUGAAGGUGGAGGAAUCAGAUACAAACACCAUCCAGGCAAUCUUACCUCAGAGUACACUCCAUCUCCACUUCAGAUUCUGCAGAGAAAACACGGAAAGCGUACUUGUCAAGUAACAGGGAAAAGCUAUCCCCGGGAUGCAACUGGCUCCACACUUGCGUCUCCAUUGGCGAGUGUUGGCUCUUCUCCGAGGACUGGUAGAAACAUGGAUUCCUAUGGAUCUAAUCAAUAAAGAAUAGAGCUACAGCGGUGCAGCAGAUUGUGAAAAAUAUAACUGAAUAUGAGUGAUCCACAAUUCUGGUGUCCAAACAACUAUGUAUAAAAUUACACUAAAAAGGUCAGUGAGCCUGGCACCAUUGACUGCAAUCAUUUACAUAUGAGAAGGGGCUCUACCCUCCAUUUCUGAAAGAAUCCAAGAUAACAAACAAAAUUAUCAAUUGAUGAGUUAAAUGAACUACUCAGUGGAUGUGAAAAAUUAAAAAAAUAAGUAAUUCCCAGCACGGGAAGAGUCUCCACUGUUUAUCCAAAAUGUACCUGUACCAGCAACAGCUCUCGCUUACCAUGGAUUUUCUCCUAAUAAUUUCUAACACAAUUUAAAAGUGAAAAGCCAUGAGGCAAGAGAUGAUGAUCUACUCUCUCAGCAUCACUGCUUCCUUUGCAGCUACCUUAGAAGAGCAAUUGUCCUCCUGAAUAAA
rnacentral:lncRNA from 1 species